rnacentral:lncRNA from 1 species
CAAAUAUGUCUCAUUUUAGAAAUAUAAAUAGAUAUAGUAGGGCGAACCGUCUUCUUUGACAUCUCUUGUUGGUAUUUCGAAUAUUCAAAAGUUUCAAUUUACUGUUAAUUGAAUAAAGUAAAAUACAGCUAUUACGGCAAUUGCAUGAUUAAUUGAUUUUCAUUAUUAAUUCACAAUUUAUAUCGAACCCUAUAAAUACCUGUAUUUACUUUUCUAAGACCGGUAUCAGUUUUUGACUUUACAACAACACUAGGAAAUCGAGUUUUCAGAUUUUAUUCGUAUUUAGAAUAGUAUAACGUCACAUUUAUUUCUUUUAUUAUAGAUGUGUCGGAAUUUCAUAUUUCCGAUAUCCCGGUCUCAGCAUAAAAAUCCCAGCCUGGUAUUUAUUUUCUGAUUAUCCCGGAACUGUACCGGGAAUUCCGCUAUGUCAAACGGGAAUCCCACUAAUAUCCCGGUUUUUUGCAAAAUAAUUCCGGUGAAUGAAUGAAUUCCCGGCGGGAUUUCGACAUUCCGGUGGAAUCCCAGGGGAUUCUACUGGGAUCCCGCAUGAAUUUUCUAUAGGGUUGGUAUUCAGUUUUUUUUUUCGUGCUUGCUUCAUAUAUUCGUCUCGCUUUCGGACAUGCUGUAAUCUGAUAUACUACUUCAUCAUAUUGACUAGUGGUUCCGUACAGCAUGCCUUCUUGGACCGUCAAUGGUGUAUACUUACUGAUGAAAAUAACAUUUAGCUUUCGGACAUGCUGUAAUCUGACAUACUACUUCAUCAUAUGUGUCGUGGAAUGUUAUUUUGGGGCUUAUGGACGUUGACGUCGUUAUCGGGAAAAUGCGAGAUUUGUUUACGUCUUUUUUUUGGCAGUCCACCGUGCACUCUUGGUGUUGAAUACCAUUAUCCCUGGGAUUUUGCUCAGCAGGUGCAUUAUCCGCAUCAUUUACAAUAAGUUGGACCAAUUUAUUUCCGUACCCUAAGGAAGCGCCAUGUGUUUGGUGUAUGUGCAGAAGGAUCAGGCAAACAGACUUUUAUUUCAUUGAUGAAAGUCAGUGCACUGGGAAAGGAGUGGAAGGUGUUAUGUCUAGGGCUCAUCAUUAUUUGCAGUUCUAUGGCAUAGGAGAAAAACAUGCACAGAUACAUUUCCAUAAUGCAGAUGGGCAGAACAAAAACAACUAUGUCAUUUGGUAUGCAGUUAUGGAGCACUUUAAUAGA